rnacentral:ribozyme from 1 species
GACAUUUAGCAAACCUGUUUCCUCAACAGAAAAAAAAAAAAAAAAAAAAAAAAAAAAAAAGGU